UGCAUCUGAAAUCUUGUGUCUAUGUCGAACUCUAUGGAAAGGAGCGGCUCCAAACUCUGUUUAUGGCCUAGUAUAUAAAUGAUCCAAGGCUAAAGCAAAGAGAUUUUGAUGCAAGGGUUGAGAUAGAAGUUCAAAAAACUAUCACAGUUAUCCAAGCUGAUAUGGAGAAAAAGUUGGCAGAAGCAAAAGAAGAUAUGAAAGCAACAAUAGAUGAUUAAGUAAAGGCCGGUGUCCAAGCAUAUCUAGAGAGUAUAAGUAUUACAAUUGACUCAAAUAGUAAAUCAAUCACUAAUGAGCAGGUUUUCGAUAACUCACAUGAAGAUCACCAACAAUCAUUAUCACCGAUUUCAGUUGUUCACAAAAAUAAGGUUAACAAAAUUAAGAACAACGAAACUAAUGAACUUGGGACCAAAAAAAGGGGGUAAGUUUGGAAAAACAUGUAACACAUAUGGUACUUUUUCAAUUUUAUUACAUAGUUGUAAUUCUCCUUUUAUGUGAUUCUUUGCAUAACUUCUGAAGGAUGUAAGAUCAAUUAUUGGCAAGGAAUACUUGGCUUGUGGAAAGAUAGAUCCAUAAAGCCUUGCUACAGAAUUUAUUCUGGAGUUUAAGAAAAUUCGUUCGGAUUAG